UGGGGAUUUAAAUAUAGUGGGCAUUUGAGUAAUUAUAACCUCAGAAGUCACUGGCUUGAGAGUAGCCACGUAGUUCACAUCUGGUGUGGCUUAGCCUUUCAGUCUAGCUGGCAGAUUUUUAUGACACGCGGAGAACUUUUGUUGGUGAAGAAUCGCGCUCUAUCAGGUACAACAAUCUCAUGUACUAAAAUUGAAAUAAAA
rnacentral:misc_RNA from 1 species